AACGAACGCUGGCGGCAGGCUUAACACAUGCAAGUCGAACGCUGUAGCAAUACAGAGUGGCGCACGGGUGAGUAAUACUUGGGAAUAUGCCUUUUAGUUGGGAAUAACCACUGGAAACGGUGGCUAAUACCCGAUACGCCCUCCGGGGGAAAGAUUUAUCGCUAAAAGAUUAGCCCAAGCCAGAUUAUGGUAGUUGGUGAGGUAAUGGCUCACCAAGCCUACGAUCUGUAGCUGGUCUGAGAGGACGACCAGCCACACUGGAACUGAGACACGGUCCAGACUCCUACGGGAGGCAGCAGUGGGGAAUAUUGGACAAUGGACGAAAGUCUGAUCCAGCAAUGCCGCGUGAAUG
rnacentral:rRNA from 1 species